rnacentral:rRNA from 1 species
GCUAUUUAGGUUAGAGUUUGAUCCUGGCUCAGAUUGAACGCUGGCGGCAUGCCUUACACAUGCAAGUCGAACGGCAGCGCGGGGCAACCUGGCGGCGAGUGGCGAACGGGUGAGUAAUAUAUCGGAACGUACCCUGGAGUGGGGGAUAACGUAGCGAAAGUUACGCUAAUACCGCAUACGAUCUAAGGAUGAAAGCAGGGGACCGCAAGGCCUUGUGCUCCUGGAGCGGCCGAUAUCUGAUUAGCUAGUUGGUAGGGUAAAAGCCUACCAAGGCAUCGAUCAGUAGCUGGUCUGAGAGGACGACCAGCCACACUGGAACUGAGACACGGUCCAGACUCCUACGGGAGGCAGCAGUGGGGAAUUUUGGACAAUGGGGGCAACCCUGAUCCAGCAAUGCCGCGUGAGUGAAGAAGGCCUUCGGGUUGUAAAGCUCUUUUGUCAGGGAAGAAACGGUGAGGGCUAAUAUCCCUUGCUAAUGACGGUACCUGAAGAAUAAGCACCGGCUAACUACGUGCCAGCAGCCGCGGUAAU